UAUGGCAGCUUGUGGCAGGCAGCGCUGAGGCACGCCCUGAUGGCAGCAGUUACCCUGAUAGAAACGACUCAACUACAUUUAAACCAUGACUGAACUGAACAGGAGAGACUCUCAGACCGGCAGAGGACGCAGAGAUGCUGAGGAAUCAGACCAGACUGUAAACCCAGCGUAGAGAGGUUCAGUGAAUGUGGUUCUGAAGGUGUGGAGGUGGAUCAGUGUGUCAGAGGAGGAGACUCUGUAGAAGGAGAGAGAGCCAGCAGGAUGAUCCAGAUACACUGCUACUCUACCAGAGGAGGAGGAGGAGGGGGAGUAGGAGGAGGAGGGGGAGGGGGAGGAGGUGAUGCUUGUUGCGCUGUUAUUGUGCCAGACAUAGUAACGACUAUCAUCAGAGCACUCCAGACUCCAGGACUGAUCAUUCCUUCCAAACACACUGUCCUGUCUGUCUCCUCUCCUGAUGAUUCCUCUGUAAGUCACUGAUAUACGAACCCUUCCUCUCCUCUCGACCUCCCAGUAACAGCGACCAGUCAGAGCUUCUCUGCACAUCAGCUGACGACGAAAAUCAAACA